UGGAAGGGGACACCGAUUUCAAGGCCAAGGUCCUCAGCCCUCGCUCUCGCUGGCGGAGCAGCACCUGGAGUCGCCCGUGCCCAGCGCCCCGGGGGCUCUGGCGGGCGGUCCCACCCAGGCGGCCCCGGGAGUCCGCGGGGAGGAGGAACAGUGGGCCCGGGAGAUCGGGGCCCAGCUGCGGCGGAUGGCGGACGACCUCAACGCACAGUACGAGCGGCGGAGACAAGAGGAGCAGCAGCGGCACCGCCCCUCACCCUGGAGGGUCCUGUACAAUCUCAUCAUGGGACUCCUGCCCUUACCCAGGGGCCACAGAGCCCCCGAGAUGGAGCCCAAUUAGGUGCCUGCACCCGCCCGGUGGACGUCAGGGACUCGGGGGGCAGGCCCCUCCCACCUCCUGACACCCUGGCCAGCGCGGGGGACUUUCUCUGCACCAUGUAGCAUACUGGACUCCCAGCCCUGCCUGUCCCGGGGGCGGGCCGGGGCAGCCACUCCAGCCCCAGCCCAGCCUGGGGUGCACUGACGGAGAUGCGGACUCCUGGGUCCCUGGCCAAGAAGCCAGGAGAGGGACGGCUGAUGGACUCAGCAUCGGAAGGUGGCGGUGACCGAGGGGGUGGGGACUGAGCCGCCCGCCUCUGCCGCCCACCACCAUCUCAGGAAAGGCUGUUGUGCUGGUGCCCGUUCCAGCUGCAGGGGUGACACUGGGAGGGGGGGGCUCUCCUCUCGGUGCUCCUUCACUCUGGGCCUGGCCUCAGGCCCCUGGUGCUUCCCCCCCUCCUCCUGGGAGGGGGCCCGUGAAGAGCAAAUGAGCCAAACGUGACCACUAGCCUCCUGGAGCCAGAGAGUGGGGCUCGUUUGCCGGUUGCUCCAGCCCGGCGCCCAGCCAUCUUCCCUGAGCCAGCCGGCGGGUGGUGGGCAUGCCUGCCUCACCUUCAUCAGGGGGUGGCCAGGAGGGGCCCAGACUGUGAAUCCUGUGCUCUGCCCGUGACCGCCCCCCGCCCCAUCAAUCCCAUUGCAUAGGUUUAGAGAGAGCACGUGUGACCACUGGCAUUCAUUUGGGGGGUGGGAGAUUUUGGCUGAAGCCGCCCCAGCCUUAGUCCCCAGGGCCAAGCGCUGGGGGGAAGACGGGGAGUCAGGGAGGGGGGGAAAUCUCGGAAGAGGGAGGAGUCUGGGAGUGGGGAGGGAUGGCCCAGCCUGUAAGAUACUGUAUAUGCGCUGCUGUAGAUACCGGAAUGAAUUUUCUGUACAUGUUUGGUUAAUUUUUUUUGUACAUGAUUUUUGUAUGUUUCCUUUUCAAUAAAAUCAGAUUGGAA
rnacentral:lncRNA from 1 species